ensembl:lncRNA
AGUCCAGGUGAUUGUCCUUGACAGUAUCUGUCUCCAUGGAGGAUAGUGGAUUCUGAAGCCAGGAAGCCAGAAAGGUAGUGCGGGCGUAUGUUCAGUUCCCUGGAGAGCUCCUUCAACCAAACUUGGUCUUUGAAGUUCAACCUUAGUGAAUCUCUCGAAUGGUGCCUGAGGUCUCUUUUCCGUAGGUGGACUUCAUACCAUGGGGGCUGCGGAGUGGGGAGGAGAGACAUCGACUUUCAUAUGACACGCACCAGACAUUAACAGAGGAAAAAUGUCCCAUUGCUGUCCAUGAAAUGAAUAUUCUAUCAAAAUGGCUCUCACUCUCCAGGAUUGAGAUUAACUUUACCUGCCGAAUGUGGUAAAAUUUAUAUCGGUGGCCUAUGACCACCAUCUAUCAGCAUCCGACCCCUCUCUAUAUAAAACAAUAAGCAUGAUCUUAAGGCACUCUUAGGGGCUGUCUAAGAGAUGUAUAUUUGCUGACAUACAACCUGACUGAAGCCAAACACCAUUACCCCUGUGACGGAUGGGAGGGCGCCCGGAACUGAACAGUUUUAUUUCCCUCCAGCAGCUGAGCUCCCUGACCAUGCGGCUGAGCUGACACGGCAUUUCAAGUCCUGUUACCAGCUCAAUGGUUCUCUUGUGGAAAAAAAAAAAAAGCACCUCUUCAUUUAGCCUCUCCAUCUUGAUCAUUGCUGAUGGGCUAUCAAUAAUUUCAAGUUGGUUGAGCAGUUGGCUGAAGGUUAAAUAAAUUCUGCCGGCUGUUUGCAUGAUUGUACCGGAGCGGAAGGAUUCCAAUUGGAAGCAGUUUUCUUGCAAGUGCUCCUUAGAAAGGUUUCUAGAGUCAAAAAAGUUAAGAAAUUUCUUUUCGAAGGUCCAAGUGCGCUUGAAGUGGAAACACGGUCAGGAGCCACAAGAACCCUGACAGUAACAAAAAUGGGUUUUUCUCUCCUUCAGAUUUUCCUCAUAGCAAUUUAGAACCCAGUGAACACACGGAAUUAAUUAUUAGCAGGGAAAAUUCUCAAUACUCUAAAGUGCUAUUUUGGAUGCUUCUAUUGUUUUUUAAAAAUGAGCUCAAUUGUAUUUUCAGAGAUUCAGCCAACAGCAAUGAGAGUAGGAAGGUGUAUCAUGAGCUGUAGUCAUAUUAUAUAUGGUUUUCUGUUGCUAAAUAGUAAACUUUUAAAAUACUUUAUUUACAUUCAGGAGAUGAUUCCCUUUUUUAAAGUAAAAUUUGGGGUUUUUUCCCCCACUGAUACU